rnacentral:rRNA from 1 species
GACAGAGGGUGCAAACGUUGUUCGGAAUUACUGGGCGUAAAGCGUGCGUAGGCGGUUUGGCAAGUCGGAUGUGAAAGCCCCGGGCUCAACCCGGGAAGUGCACUCGAUACUGCGGGACUGGAGUGUGGGAGAGGUUGGUGGAAUUCUCGGUGUAGAGGUGAAAUUCGUAGAUAUCGAGAGGAACACCGGCGGCGAAGGCGGCCAACUGGACCA